CAACACAUCCCGUGAGGGACGUGCCGAACCGAUGAGGAGUCAGCCGAGGUGAUAGUACCCAACGAAUGCUUACUGAUAAGGGUUCUGGGGAAGCAC
rfam:Methanogenic archaeon ISO4-H5 chromosome, complete genome.